UUGGUUUCUCCAGAGUUAGAAGAGGAAAGGAGAAAACGUAAGACUCUGAAAAGUAUUUACUUGAGAGGUAACUCCUGCUACCCUAUGCACCGACUAUUUCUUAUCCCUAAACAAUGUAUUAUUGACUUUCAAAAUCAGUAUCAGCAACAACCUAGCUUUGUAAGGAAAGAGCAAUCUUGGCACUGUAAAUGAAGACUCCCAGGGGAAGAGAGGCAGAAAAGUACCUGGUCUUGCUUCAUCUCACCUGAGGUCUGUAAGAGCCCCUUCUGAGAAGGGACCCGAGUGAAUUCUGGGAAGUGUAGGACUCACUAGAGCUCAGGCAUGUGGCAGAAUUACAUACAGGUCAGGAAGUAGCUGUGCAAUCGAAAUGUAUUCAAGGUGUGAGCUGCUCAGUUUUUGCUGCUACAUUUUUACCAUGUUGUAUCACUCAUUGUCAAGAGGAGGCCAGAACAGAAGACAACUGUGCAGCAAAAUGAGUGUCUUCAUGUAGCAAAGUAUAGAGGACCAAGAACAGCUUCUUCAGCGGAUGGCCAAGACAUGCCAAGUACGGAUAAGACUCUGAGCCAGGCAAUGAAAAACAAUUGCAUUUCAUUACUUUUCACAUUGAUUAAAGCUUAGAUAUUCACUAUGAGAAUUAAUUCCAUGUGAUAAUCCAAAGGCAGGCCAAGGUGAGAGGAUUGCUUGACACCAGGAGAGACCAGCCUGGGCAGCAAAAGACGACCCUGUCUCUACAAAAAAUAAAAGUAAACAUAGUCAAGUGCAGUGGUGCAUACCUGUAGUUCCAGCUACUUCGGAGGCUGAGAUGGGAGGAUCAUUUGAGCCCAGGAGAUCGAGGCUGCAGUGAGCUAUGAUUGCACCACUGCACUGUAGCCUGGACAACAGAGAGACCCUGUCUAACAUGAAAUGAAAUAAAAUAAUUUUAAAAAUAAUAAAAAUAAAAUAAAAUUAUUUUUCUUCUUUCCAACGUCACUACCUCUAUCCUUAUCCAACUUACCUUUGAGUGGCCAAGCCUUUCAGUUCUGUAAACCAAGCAAUCCACAUUCACUGUUACCCACUACAAUACAAAUGCCACCUAAACAAAUAGCCAGUGUCACCUUCUUAAAACACUAAUAAUAUGGUGUUUCCUGCCGUAAUUAAGCCCUUUACAGACUGCUCAUCAUUCUUGGGAUAAAACCAAGCUUUUUUACGUGUUAAAAACAUGCCCAUUUGCCCACCCCUCCAAUCUCAUCUGAAGCUGGGCUGCUCUUCCUUUACAAAGUUCCUAUCAUUCUAGAAUUCUCAUAAUUCCUCCUUGGUGCCAAUAUGAAUUCUCUCCCAACAUGCAACCUGUUCAUGUGCCAUUCUAUCUGGAACACUAUUCUCCUCCCUCUUUACCUAGCCAAUAGUUAUAUAUUCUUUGUGUCUUAUUUUAAAUGUCACUUCCUCUAGGAAAGCAUAUUUUAUAUGCCAUUCUAGCUCCCUGAAGUUCUUCAUAACACUUAUCACAAUGUAUGAAAUUAUUUUUCUUUUAGAAUGUAUUUUUAAUUUUAUUUUUUAUUAAAAUAUUAUAGUUCUACACAUUUAUGUACAUAUAUUUUGAUACAUGCAUACAGUGUGUAAUGAUCAAAUCAAUAUAAUUGGGUAUUGAUCGCUUCAAAUAUUUAUCAUUUUUUUGUGUUGGGGACAGUCCAAAUCUUGUCUUCGAGUUCUUUUGAAAUAUACAAUAAAUUAGUUAACUGUUGUCACCCUACUGUGCUAUCAAACACUAGAAUUUAGUCCUUCUAACUGUAUUUUUAUAUCCAUUAACCAACCUUUCUUCAACUCUACCCACCCUCUCCUUUCCCUGCUUUUGGUAAUCACCGUUCUAUUUACCACCUUUGUGAAAUCAGUUGUUUCAGCUCCCACAUAUGAGUGAGAACAUGGAACAUUUGUCUUUCCGUGCCUGGCUUAUUUCACUUAACCUCCUUCAGGUUUGUACAUGUUGCUGCAAAUAACAAGAUUUUAUUAUUUUUUAUGGCUGAAUAAUAUUCCAUCAUUUGUCCUUUUUCUACACACCUUCCUGUAUUUCACUGUUGUCAUUCAAUAAUACUACAGGAUAGUCUCUAAGACAAGUAUUCAUUUUUUUAUGGCCACAUGAUAUUCCAUGCUACAGAUGAAUGCUAAUAUACUCAAUCAUUUCUCCUGUAAUCUCAGCACUCUGGGAGGCCAAGCUGGGCAGAUCACAUGAGGCCAGGAGUUCAAGACCAGCCUGGCCAAUGUGGUGAAAUCCCAUCUCUAGUAAAAAUACAAAAAUUAGCCAGGCAUGGUGGUGCCUGCCGUAAUCCCAGUUGAUUGGGAAGCUAAGGUGGGAGAAAUUUUGAACCUAGGAAACAGAGGUUGCAGUGAGCCAUGCUUGCACCACUGCACUCCAGCCUGGGCAACAGAAUGAAUCCAUCUCAAAAAAAAUUAAAUUAUUUAUCUAUUAUUGAAUAUUAACUUUGUUCCCAGUUUUUAGCUACUCUGCACAAUGAUGAAAUAAAAAUCCUUACAGAUAUACACUUUAUGUGCUGAUGCUUUAUCUCUAGUAGCUAGUAUCCAAGGAUUAUAUACCACUUUUAAGAACACAUGUAUUUUAUAUUGUUAUAGAUGUGGUCAGAUCAAGUUCUUUUAAAAGGCUGUAAAGUCUUAUAUUUCUACAAGUGAUAUAUAAAAUUCUAUUUUCUUCAUGUACUGGCCAGAAAUUAUAAAUAUAUUUACAGCGUAAUGAGCAUGAAACUAUAUAUCAUGGUUAUUUAAAUUUGCAUUCCCCUUACUGUUAAUGAAGCUGGAAAUCUUCCUAUGAAUUUGUUGCCUAUUUGGAUUUAUCCUUUCCUGUGUAUUGCCUAUCUACUAGAUUGCCUAUUUUCCUUUGCCUUGUUUUUCUUUGUCACUUUGUAAAAUAUUUUUGGUAUAUUAUAGAUAUUAACUGUGUGCUAUAUAUAUUACAUUGUUUUUUAUUCCAGAUCAAACAUUUAUGUAUCAACAUUGUAAUAUUUUGUAUAAAAAUUUCACAUUUCAAAUAGUCAAAGAUGUUUAUUCCUUCUUAUAUGUCUCUGCUUUCUCUGUGUUGGUUAAGCAAGCAUCUUUUUGAUUUCACAUGCAUUUUUAAUGUUUUUCACAAGAUGUUUAAUGUUUUUUUUAUUAUUAUAAGUUUUAGGGUACAUGUGCACAAUGUGCAGGUUAGUUACAUAUGUAUACAUGUGCCAUGCUGGUGUGCUGCACGCACUAACUCGUCAUCUAGCAUUAGGUAUAUCUCCCAAUGUUAUCCCUCCCCCCUCCCCCACCCCACAACAAUCCCCAGAGUGUGAUGUUCCCCUUCCUGUGUCCAUAUGUUCUCAUUGUUCAAUUCCCACCUAUGAGUGAGAAUAUGCAGUGUUUGGUUUUUUGUUCUUGUGAUAGUUUACUGAGAAUGAUAAUGUUUUAAUAUUUUUCUCUUGAAUUUAAUGUUAAUCUACUUGUACUUUGUAUGUGGCAUAAAAUUUGUGUUCCCUAUUAUUUAUUCCAAAAUGAAUAGCCAGUUGGCCCAGCAUUGCUUAUUGAAUAAUUCAUCUUUUUCCCACUAAAUCAAAGUAUUACUUUUGGCAUGUGAUAAAUUCACGUACACAAUUAUAUGGUCUAUUUCUGCAUUUUCUAUUUUCUUCCAUAACUUGUUUAGUCCUGUGUCAAUAUUAUGUUGAUGUGGUUAUAAAGGCUUUGUUUUUUAGUAUUAUGAUAUCUGAUUUUAAAAAGAGUCAUACCAUAAUUUAUAUAUUUGGCUAUAUUUUAAUAUUUAAUACUAUUUAUAUUUAAAGCUAUUUAAUCCAAUUUCCUCUACUUACAAAUAAAGUUGUUGGCACUCUACCAAGUUAUAAAUGUAUGACACUUACAAAUUAAUUUCUGAAAAACUUAAAUUUUGUGAUACUGAGUCUCAUCAUUCAAGAACAUUGCAGGUCCCCCAAAUCUUCUGCCCUGAUGAAUAAAUGACAGACAGCUGGGUUUGGAU
rnacentral:lncRNA from 10 species